rnacentral:rRNA from 1 species
UACGUAGGUGGCGAGCGUUGUCCGGAUUUACUGGGCGUAAAGGAUGCGUAGGCGGAUAUUUAAGUGAGAUGUGAAAUACCCGAGCUUAACUUGGGUGCUGCAUUUCAAACUGGAUAUCUAGAGUGUGGGAGAGGAGAAUGGAAUUCCUAGUGUAGCGGUGAAAUGCGUAGAGAUUAGGAAGAACACCAGUGGCGAAGGCGAUUCUCUGGACCAUAACUGACGCUGAGGCACGAAGGCCAGGGGAGCAAACGGG